CUCAGAGAAAGAGCGUGUUCCCUUGUUAACCUGAAAGAGGACACCUUCACCAUUGGAGAGUUGAGGGUCUCCUUCUCAGAUUGGAACCACAGGACAGAGAGGGAGAGAGCAAGAGUGCAAGCCUACUCAUUACAGUGUGUUUGUGCUGAAAUCCAAGCCAAGUCCCCCAGGAAGCAAACUCAGAAGGUGUUUAGCCCACAGGACAUUUGUAGGGAGUGGCUUGGGGUUAACAUCUGCAGAAGGGGCGAGGGCAGAAGCAGGAUUGGCAGUGAAGAGCAAUCCAGGAUGCAGGCCCCGCAGCAAAUGUGGCCAACCCCAACGAGAUCUCUGGAACCAGAAUGACCCUUCAAAGUGUCCAAAGGGUCUCCAGGCAGCUGAGAAGCCAUAUGUUGUAACAGGAAAAGCACUGGGUUUGGAGCAGGAGAGGGCAAGUGAAUCCUGUUCUGCCACAGUGUAGCAGAGAGUCAUUGAGCAAGUUCCUCAUGUUCCCUGGGUCUACUCUAUGAAGAGGAAAUGAUCAUACAUAAUUCACAGAUCUGCUAACCUAAUUUUUUUGUUGUUGAUGAACAUUUCUCAUUCAAUCAGAGGGACUCAAUCAAAAAAUUAAAAGAAGAAGAGAAUGGGAUAGAAAAUGUGGCAAAAUGUUAAAAAUUGGUGAAUCUGGCCAAAGGGUACCUAGGAGUUCCCUGUACUAUUCUUGCAACUUUUCUGUAAGUUUAAAAUUUCUUCAAAAAAAAAAAAAAA